CGUCUCAGUUCGGAUUGUAGUCUGCAACUCGACUACAUGAAGCUGGAAUCGCUAGUAAUCGCAGAUCAGAAUGCUGCGGUGAAUACGUUCCCGGGUCUUGUACACACCGCCCGUCACACCAUGGGAGUCGGAAAUGCCCGAAGCCGGUGACCCAACCAAAAGGAGGGAGCCGUCGAAGGCAGGUCUGAUAACUGGGGUGAAGUCGUAACAAGGUAGC
rnacentral:rRNA from 1 species